ensembl:lncRNA
AUUUUCUAGUGUGUUAAGGUAUGUAACCAUGGUAUUUUCUAGUGUGUUAAGGUAUGUAACCAUGGUAUUUUCUAGUGUGUUAAGGUAUGUAAUCAUGGUAUUUUCUAGUGUGUUAAGGUAUGUAACCAUGGUAUUUUCUAGUGUGUUAAGGUUUGUAACCAUGGUAUUUUCUAGUGUGUUAAGGUAUGUAAUCAUGGUAUUUUCUAGUGUGUUAAGGUUUGUAACCAUGGUAUUUUCUAGUGUGUUAAGGUAUGUAAUCAUGGUAUUUUCUAGUGUGUUAAGGUAUGUAACCAUGGUAUUUUCUAGUGUGUUAAGGUAUGUAACCAUGGUAUUUUCUAGUGUGUUAAGGUAUGUAAUCAUGGUAUUUU